ACACUGGCUCAGUUGAUAGAGCAUGAGACACUUAAUCUUAGGGUCAUGGGUUCAAGUCCCACACGGGAUAAAUA